AAGGGCUCCUUUUGGGCUGCUCAUUCCUCCUCCGCUGCCCCUGACAGCGGCAAUGGUGGGGGAGGAGGAAGGAGCAGCCCGAAAGGGCUCCUU